GAUGAACGCUGGCGGCGUGCCUAAUACAUGCAAGUCGAGCGAACAGACGAGGAGCUUGCUCCUCUGACGUUAGCGGCGGACGGGUGAGUAACACGUGGAUCACCUACCUAUCAGACUGGGAUAACUUCGGGAAACCGGAGCUAAUACCGGAUAAUCUCUUGAACCGCAUGGUUCAAUAGUGAAAGACGGUUUUGCUGUCACUUAUAGAUGGAUCCGCGCGGCAUUAGCUAGUUGGUAAGGUAACGGCUUACCAAGGCAACGAUGCGUAGCCGACCUGAGAGGGGGAUAGCCCACACGGGAACUGGGACAGGGUCAAGACGACUGAGGGAGGCAGCAGAAGCGAAUCUGCGGCAAUGGGCGAAAGCCUGACGGAGCAACGCCAAGUGAGUGAUGAAGGGCUUCGGAUCGUAAAAAUCUGUUAUUAGGGAAGAACAAAUGUGGAAGGAAAUAUGCACGUCUUGACGGUACCUAAUCAGAAAGCCACGGCUAACUACGUG
rnacentral:rRNA from 1 species